rnacentral:rRNA from 1 species
UACGUAGGUGGCAAGCGUUGUCCGGAUUUACUGGGCGUAAAGGGCGUGCAGGCGGUCUGUUAAGUGCAGGGUGAAAGCUCCCGGCUCAACUGGGAGAGGUCCUUGCAUACUGGCGGACUUGAGGGGGGUAGAGGAAAGUGGAAUUCCCGGUGUAGUGGUGAUAUGCGUAGAUAUCGGAAGGAACACCAGUGGCGAAAGCGGCUUCCUGGUCCAGCAUCGACGGUCAGGCACGAAAGCGUGGGGAGCAAACAGG